rnacentral:rRNA from 1 species
GCGGGGUCACACCUGCACGUGUAGCGGGGACGGGUAGCUUGCUCCCUAGCCUAACGGCGGACGGGUGAGUAAUGCUUAGGAAUCUGCCUAUUAGUGGGGGACAACGUUUCGAAAGGAACGCUAAUACCGCAUACGUCCUACGGGAGAAAGCAGGGGAUCAUUUGACCUUGUGCUAAUAGAUGAGCCUCAAGUCGGAUUAGCUAGUUGGUGGGGUAAAGGCCUACCAAGGCGACGAUCUGUAGCGGGUCUGAGAGGAUGAUCCGCCACACUGGGACUGAGACACGGCCCAGACUCCUACGGGAGGCAGCAGUGGGGAAUAUUGGACAAUGGGCGCAAGCCUGAUCCAGCCAUGCCGCGUGUGUGAAGAAGGCCUUAUGGUUGUAAAGCACUUUAAGCGAGGAGGAGGAGCUUCAGGUUAAUACCCUGGAUGCUUGGACGUUACUCGCAGAAUAAGCACCGGCUAACUCUGUGCCAGCAGCCGCGGUAAUACAGAGGGUGCAAGCGUUAAUCGGAUUUACUGGGCGUAAAGCGUGCGUAGGCGGCUAAUUAGUCAAAUGUGAAAUCCCCGAGCUUAACUUGGGAAUUGCAUUCGAUACUGGUUAGCUAGAGUAUGGGACGAGGAUGGUAGAAUUCCAAGGUGUACCAGGUGAAUGCGUAGAGAUCUGGAAGGAAUACCGAAUGGCCGACGCAGCCAUCUUGGCUAUACUUGGACCGAGGUCCAAGCAUGGGGCGCAACGCUUAUCCCG